GAUGAACGCUGGCGGCGUGCCUAAUACAUGCAAGUCGAGCGAACGGACGAGAAGCUUGCUUCUCUGAUGUUAGCGGCGGACGGGUGAGUAACACGUGGAUAACCUACCUAUAAGACUGGGAUAACUUCGGGAAACCGGAGCUAAUACCGGAUAAUAUUUUGAACCGCAUGGUUCAAAAGUGAAAGACGGUCUUGCUGUCACUUAUAGAUGGAUCCGCGCUGCAUUAGCUAGUUGGUAAGGUAACGGCUUACCAAGGCAACGAUGCAUAGCCGACCUGAGAGGGUGAUCGGCCACACUGGAACUGAGACACGGUCCAGACUCCUACGGGAGGCAGCAGUAGGGAAUCUUCCGCAAUGGGCGAAAGCCUGACGGAGCAACGCCGCGUGAGUGAUGAAGGUCUUCGGAUCGUAAAACUCUGUUAUUAGGGAAGAACAUAUGUGUAAGUAACUGUGCACAUCUUGACGGUACCUAAUCAGAAAGCCACGGCUAACUACGUGCCAGCAGCCGCGGUAAUACGUAGGUGGCAAGCGUUAUCCGGAAUUAUUGGGCGUAAAGCGCGCGUAGGCGGUUUUUUAAGUCUGAUGUGAAAGCCCACGGCUCAACCGUGGAGGGUCAUUGGAAACUGGAAAACUUGAGUGCAGAAGAGGAAAGUGGAAUUCCAUGUGUAGCGGUGAAAUGCGCAGAGAUAUGGAGGAACACCAGUGGCGAAGGCGACUUUCUGGUCUGUAACUGACGCUGAUGUGCGAAAGCGUGGGGAUCAAACAGGAUUAGAUACCCUGGUAGUCCACGCCGUAAACGAUGAGUGCUAAGUGUUAGGGGGUUUCCGCCCCUUAGUGCUGCAGCUAACGCAUUAAGCACUCCGCCUGGGGAGUACGACCGCAAGGUUGAAACUCAAAGGAAUUGACGGGGACCCGCACAAGCGGUGGAGCAUGUGGUUUAAUUCGAAGCAACGCGAAGAACCUUACCAAAUCUUGACAUCCUUUGACAACUCUAGAGAUAGAGCUUUCCCCUUCGGGGGACAAAGUGACAGGUGGUGCAUGGUUGUCGUUAGCUCGUGUCGUGAGAUGUUGGGUUAAGUCCCGCAACGAGCGCAACCCUUAAGCUUAGUUGCCAUCAUUAAGUUGGGCACUCUAAGUUGACUGCCGGUGACAAACCGGAGGAAGGUGGGGAUGACGUCAAAUCAUCAUGCCCCUUAUGAUUUGGGCUACACACGUGCUACAAUGGACAAUACAAAGGGCAGCGAAACCGCGAGGUCAAGCAAAUCCCAUAAAGUUGUUCUCAGUUCGGAUUGUAGUCUGCAACUCGACUACAUGAAGCUGGAAUCGCUAGUAAUCGUAGAUCAGCAUGCUACGGUGAAUACGUUCCCGGGUCU
rnacentral:rRNA from 1 species